rnacentral:lncRNA from 1 species
UAUAAACAAGGGGUAAGAGCCGUCUACUGAGGUACACACUCAUUUUUUAGUAAAUAAAGCUUAUCGUUGACUUAAGAAUCAAAGGGUUGUUCCGGCCAACCUCUGACUGGGAAGCCUAACAUUUGUUGAGUCUUGUAGGUUUCCCCUCUGGAGCGCUACUCGGUACGACCCGAGGAGCACUGCUAUCCUAAGGUGAAAACCUACUCCACCACAAUUGGCGCCAUUUGUGGGAAAACACAUCCAAAUUCUUUCUGAGUUCAUGGAGGGACAGAAGGGAAGAGAGUAUGCUGGAAAAGGCAGAGAUCACUUCUUGAAAGCUAAUGGUAGCUAUCAAGAGGAACCUAGUAGCAAGGAAGAGCUUUCAUCAUCGGGAAAGACCUUUAUCCAACCACCAUUUGCAAUAACGUUACCCUCCGAAGCCCUCUGAUCGAGACGAGAUCAUUGGAGCAAUGGGUAUAGAGGUAGUGAAGCUAUGUGCCCCGUUGAAGGAUAAGAAGUGCACCCAUACUAGUGUAUCUCAUGGACAGACCGGUGAUGGAGAAGCUAGUUCCCUAAGGGGAACCCUUGUGUCAAUCCUAUCUGAAAAGGCUAAACGCGGUUGCACUGUAUGGGAUUUUAAAAUGUUUGUUUGAAGAGUUCAUCCUUCAAGGGCAUACUACAAGUGAUGGCGCUAGUAGCAAACUAUGUACGUUCAUAGAGAGGGCCGUCCUCAAAAAGGCAAAAGACUCUCAUCCAGGAAUUAGUUACUCGGUGGUCGUACCUAACCUAAAAAAAGAGGAGAAAGGUUAGGCCAAGGCCAUGAGGGCUGGGGCCAACACUGUCCUGGAUAGGCUAGUUUUUUCUCCCUUUGCCAUGGAGAUUGAAGCACCCUUAGUGUUGCACCUGCCAAAAAAGUUCUCUCCCUUUACCAGAGGCCCUUCAUGCGGCACAUGCCAAAAUAAUUCUCAUUACUGAAGUUCAUGACCUACAAUGGGAGGUCAGACCCUUAUAUGCACACUAGCCACUUUUUCCAAAUGAUGUCCUUUUAGAGUGAGAACAAGGCAUUGAUGUGCAAGGUCUUCCCUUCUAACUUGGGAGAGGCCAGACUCCGAUGGUUGAUAAAUUAUCGGUAAGGUCCAUGUCAAGCUGGAAGCAGCUUUUGGAACCCUUCAUAGCAAGGUUUGUCACCAAAAAGGAGCCCAAGGAGGUGGAUGCCUUGCUCGCUUUAAACAAAAGCCAUUAGGAGUCACUCCGGGAUGACACUCGAAGGUAUUGGGAUGCCUAUAAUGAGAUCAAAGUAUGCAAUGAAGAGGUCGUUGCAUCGUUCAAGCAUGGCCUUACCCUAGGGGACUUACUCCAAGAUUCGCUUACAAAGUGAUAGGCUAUGUCCAUUACCAAGCUAAUGGAGAGGGUGGACCGGCAUGCAAGGUUAGAGUAGGAUAAUAGUCACACCCAAAUCGAUAGGUGGCAACCCUCCCAAGGGAAUCCUAGGCGCGGAGAGGCAAGGGAGUCCGUUAGGGAAAAGCCAAACCAAACGAAUCAAUCAACAUGAUGUUUGAAGAGCCAACAUACAAGAUCUUACCAAAGAUCCAAAACCAACCGUACUUCUCUUUUCCACCUAAGAUGAGAGAAAACUCAGAAAUGAGAAAGCCUAAGUUUAGAUACUUGUACACCAGGAGUAUGGGCAUAUGAUUGAAAGUUGCUAGGCUCUUAAGCAACAAUUGGAGGAUUUGGCCACGGCUGGGCAUCUCAAGGAGUACAUAUACACAAGAGAAGACCAAAGCCAAAAAGCUUACAGAAUGGAAGGGACAUGAAGGGAAUGCCUCGGAUGCCUCACUUGGAGUCAUUAACAUGAUCUAUGUAAUUAAGGGUCUGAGUUAAGAAAGUGACCUCUAGAGGAAACUUCAAGAGGUAGGUUGGACGAGGCUUUUGGAGACACAAAUGGCAUUAAAGAAGUACCUCAUAGCCACACCAAAGUCCAAAUCGAAGUUAGAUGAAGUCCAUAUGGUGGAGGUGCCAGACUAGUCAUUAUAAGAGGAGAUUAGUGGGGAGUGUUAAGGUUUCAGCAUAGGUGAAACAUUGUAAGAAGGUAUUACAGUCGGGAGGAGCAGUUAGAAUAAAAUCUUUGUAAUUGGAACAAUAUUUAGUCUUGAAAUAAAAGUCAUUUUUCUUUUCAAUUGUGUGGAAACUUGCUUAAGAGGUGGACUGUCUUUUAUGUUUCAACAAUUGUCUUAAUGAGGGUCAAAUUAUCGUGAUUGCUCGCUUGGUCCAAUAAGGCUAAACUAGAUUGCGGGUGGAGAAGGAGUUAGAUAGGGUCACCCAAACCCUUAUUGAGAGAAAGAAGUGGAUAGGCAUUUAGGGAAGAACUAUGGCCAAGCUGGAUUGGAUCGUUGGAUUAAUUUCUUUGGCCAAUUGGGUGUGCUUGAAAGUAGUACAUGAGCUUUUGGGUGGUAAUGAGUAAGGGAAGCACAAGCUUCUCCACUGGUAGAUACCUUAUUUAGCAAUCUUUAAAUGUUUUGUU